GAGUUGGAUGACUGUGAUAAUGGACCAGUUGAUCCAAAGGAGUUGGACAAAGGGCCCAAAAGUGAAGAAGAGUUGUGGGCUGAAAGGGCUUCAACUUUAAAUGAUCUUGUUGAUAAGCUAAACAAAGCCCGAAACGAGGAGGAUUUAAAAUCUUGCUUGGAGGUAAAAUCUCAGCUUUUUAAUCAUCAUAAUAAAGAGAGUCAAUUAGAGUCUGGGGAUACAAAGUUAUUGACUGAAGAGACUGCCAAAAAUGUUUUGGAAUCAAAUAGAGAAGUAAACUUUUCAUUGCCAUCAUUGAUUACUACAACUGAAAUAGAUCAAGAGACUAUAAGACAUGUGGAUGCACACUUCUCUUCCCUUGAUCAGAUAGAAAGUCUAUAAUUAGAGGUUAGAGAUAAGACUUGGAAAAAGAUUUGGAUUGUAGAUUAGUCAAUUGGGGAGGAUUAUAGGGUUAGGAAAAAGAAGAAAGAAAGAAAAAAAAGGCACACUUCUCUGCCAAAAAUGAUUGUUGGUAUCUUAUACUACUGCUUCACAGUUAAUUCUGUUAGGCAAUGGGAUUGUUUUGUCAUUUGUCAUUUUACAAUUCUCAUUUGGCUUUCUAGAUUUGAGAUCUGUUCUCAGCUAAAAAUUACAAUAUGUGUUGAUUAAGCUUUUACAUUGGUCACAGGUCAAUAAAGUACAGUGUUAAAAGAAGCCACUCUGUCAUCAUAUGUCCUUUCCUUCUAUAAGAUUUCCCAAACGUAGAUGUGUUACUAAUUGGUUCUUAUGUCAAUCCAUGGUAAAUAUAGUAUUGGCAAGUUAGAUCAAUCUGUAAUUGAUAAUUUCUCAGUGGUUUUGUUUUGUUGGUCCUUUCAAUUCAAUGCCGUGGUCAUUUAGAACCAACAAAAGAGCUGUUUUUUUAUCAUCUAUUUUUUGGGGAUGAAUCAAUGAUACCAAAGUGUCGGGAAAAGGAAGCUUAUUUACAACAAAGACAUAUGUCUUGUUUUCUUUUUUCUUAUAAAAAAUUAAACCAAAGUUUUCACACGUUCAGUUAUUAUGUAACUCAAUAUAUGUUAUGGCCUACUUUUCUAUGGGCUUGAAUUAAAAAAUUGGAGUCUUUUUGGAUAUAUUAGGUCAAUCACUUCUCAUUUGGCUUUUUGGUGUAAAGAGCUCAAAGGAUUUUUAUUUUUCUGAUUUCUUUAGCAAGUGGAUUUCUUGUUGUACCUAAGAAGACAUCUUUCUUUAUCUCUUUAUACCUUUUUCUUAUGUAUGAUAAUAUUUUACUGCUUCUUAAAAUAAAGAAGAAAAAAAUGUCAAUGACUUGUCAUUGGGUUUCGGAUGUCUUAUGAUAUGUUCAGUUGCUAAUAUGUUCUUGAGAACAAGUUUUAUUGUUGACGGUGUUUCUUUUAGUCUCCCUCAAACAAGCUUCACUGAUCUAGAAUUGAUAAAUAAAGUUAUUAUUGAUGGGUCAUAUUCUCUGUAUUAUAUUUGCCUGUGUCAAACACUGCAGGUUGGUUUGAUUAAACUCACCAUGGAUGUAAUGGUUGGAUUAUACUGAUAUUGAUGGACAUGUUAUUUUAGAAAUUGAAUAUUCAUUUUGACGUAUCAUGAAUUCUUGAAACUGAGUUAUUUUAUCCUCCCUGUACAUGCCAUAAACCGUUCAAAUAAACUUUUAAUUCUUUUAUUGCCUAAUUGAUUCAUUCCUGUCUUGGUUGCAAGCCAAGAGACUUAUGGAACCUUGGGUGCUAUUGUUAGAAGCCGAACUGGAAAUCGACAGGUUGGUUUCCUCACUAAUUGACAUGUGGCUGUUGAUUUAGAUUAUCCAAACCAGAAAAUGUUUCAUCCUUUACCACCAAGCCUUGGACCUGGGGUAUAUUUGGGAGCUGUGGAGAGGGCAACAUCUUUUAUCACAGAUGAUCUUUGGUAUGGAAUCUUUGCUGGAACAAACGCAGAAGACAUAACGAGGAAAAUCAGAGGAAACAGAAACACAGAAAAAUAGCAAAAAGUAUAAGUGAUCUCUAAAUUAGAGGAACAACCUCAUCAAAUUUUGUUCAUCGAAGAAGGUGUAGAGGAGAAUAAUACUGAUACUGGUGAAGGAACUGGUGAUGAUGAAUGCAUCUCUAUUAUUAAUGAACGAAACAUAGAAAAUGUAGGUUCUUUGCACUUGCAAGAUCAGGAUGAGUGGACAUUAGAUUGUGCUGAGGCAGGGGAGCUAGAGGACAGAGCACAUUAUCACCAGGCCGGUGAAAGCAGUGUACCUGAAACUUAAGAUACAAAUGACGAGUGUCUCUUCACACAUUAAGCGAAAGACCAAAAGGAAUGAAAAAUUUUCAAGUGGAAAAUAGUCAAUUGCCCUCGUCAAACAUCAUCAGUAGAGUGCGGCUUUUAUAUCAUAAGGACGAUGAAAGACUAUUGCUUGAAUGAGAUACACAUGUGAUGGCUAACUAGUAAUUGUGGUGGGAAUAAUACAUAUACACUAGGCGAAAUUAAUGAAACUCGAAAUGAAUGGGCAGCCAAGCUUCUUGAGCGGAUGAGUCAUAGCUAGAGUAAUUUUUUAAAUUUGAAUUAAAAAAUAUACUAAUUGCAGUAUUUAGUUAGCACUUACAUAGUUAUUCUAAGUGUAUAUUUUGAUUUUGUAAUUUUUAAAUUUGGAACAUACCGAGUCCUAUUGAUUUAAUCUGCCUAUUGAUUUUUUCUGAACUAUGUUGUAGUUACAGAAAUUAUAAAUGAAUAUAGUGGUUGAAAAUAAAGAAAUGAAAAAAUUCUCAUA